AAUAGAUACCCGGGUAGUCCAUGCCGUAAACGUUGGGCGCUAGAUGUGGGGACCAUUCCACGGUUUCCGUGUCGCAGCUAACGCAUUAAGCGCCCCGCCUGGGGAGUACGGCCGCAAGGCUAAAACUCAAAGGAAUUGACGGGGGCCCGCACAAGCGGCGGAGCAUGCGGAUUAAUUCGAUGCAACGCGAAGAACCUUACCAAGGCUUGACAUAUACGAGAACGCUGCAGAAAUGUAGAACUCUUUGGACACUCGUAUACAGGUGGUGCAUGGUUGUCGUCAGCUCGUGUCGUGAGAUGUUGGGUUAAGUCCCGCAACGAGCGCAACCCUCGUUCUAUGUUGCCAGCACGUAAUGGUGGGAACUCAUAGGAGACUGCCGGGGUCAACUCGGAGGAAGGUGGGGAUGACGUCAAAUCAUCAUGCCCCUUAUGUCUUGGGCUUCACGCAUGCUACAAUGGCCGGUACAAAGGGCUGCAAUCCGUAAGGUGGAGCGAAUCCCAAAAAGCCGGUCUCAGUUCGGA
rnacentral:rRNA from 1 species